UACUGGCAGGAUCAACCAGGUAGCAUUCCUUCGCGACGCCGACGCCCGCAUGAGGCCCGACGGGCCGCACGGCCCUCGGACGCUCAAGACGGGCGCGGCGGUCGUUCGUGUCGAGGGACGAAAUGCGUUGCUUGGGCAAACGAAGGCNGAGAGACCCCGCACCCGCGCNUAACGUUCUGCAUCCGAGAGCACGGGCAGAGCACCUCAUGGGCCAGGGCAACCACGCGAGCGGGCGAGGCAUGCCAGGAACACGAGGCUCGCCUUGCGUCCACCCCACCACCCGCGA
rnacentral:misc_RNA from 1 species